CUUGACUCCCUGGGUAGCUAAAAAAUUCUAGCUUUGUACGUACUAGUAAUAUUGCUCUCAGUUGUCCUGACCUUUUUUUUUGCGUGGUAGCCGUUGUCUUCACUAAAAUUGUUUAGUUAAAAAGAACUGCCAUUUUUGUAGUAUAAAUUAUAUACCAGGCGCACGGUGAGCACACCACCGGAGCAACCGUGAGUCCGUGACCCAAACCGUAUACACACCAUGUGUCCCACAGCCAGAACCAAGCUCUUGCUCCUCCUUGCAGUAGCAGCCUCCACCAUUCCCUUCACCUCCAAUGGCUUGGUGCAUGUGCCACGCCAGCCAGCCAGCCAUGCCAACGGCACCGGCACCGGCACGAUGUGUCUGCCACAUGAAAGGGAGGCCUUGCUAGCGUUCAAGCGAGGCAUCACCAAAGACCCGUUGGGCCAACUCGCCUCGUGGCAGCGACAUGGGCUGAAGGACUGCUGCCGCUGGAGGGGAGUCCAGUGCGAUGACCGCACCGGGCAUGUCCUCGAGCUUCAUCUUCGCAACUUGCACGAAAAUAACACGCUUCUCAUCGAUGAUCAACUAACAGCUUUGGUCGGUGAGAUAAGUCCUUCUUUGCUCGCCUUGCAGCAUUUGGAACACCUUGAUCUCAGCGUGCAAGCACUCCAGGGGCCCACUGGUUGUGUCCCGGAGUUCUUGGGCUCUUUCAAGAACCUAAGAUAUCUUAACCUCUCUUGCGUACCAUUUUUCAGUGAUUUGCCGCCUCAUCUUGGUAACCUCUCAAAGUUGCAAUUCCUUGACCUCUCCCAAGCUAACAUGGUUUAUGUCUCAUCGGGUGGACCACCAAUGCACUCCAAAGAUAUCUCAUGGUUAACCCGCAUGCCUUUGUUAAGGUACCUCAACAUGCAAAUGGUAAACCUUAGCAUGGUGGCCGAUUGGCCUCGUGUUGCCAACAUGAUUCCUUCUUUGAGAGUCCUUUGUCUAUCCCAAUGCUCACUUGAAAGCGCAAAACACUCGCUCUUGCACUCCAACCUCACCAAUCUUGUAGAGCUUGAUCUCUCUGGCAACGACUUUGACCAACCACUUGCAUCUUGCUGGUUUUGGAAUAUAACAAGCAUUAGAUACCUCAACCUUCGGUCUACCAAUAUGUAUGGCCAGUUUCCAAAUUCUCUAGGAGAUUUGAAAUCCCUUCAAGCCCUUGCCUUUUCAACUGAUAGGUUGGGCUCCAUGACAGCAAGCAUGAGAAAUUUGUGCAAUCUUGAAGUCCUAGAUCUCAGCAAUAGCCUGUUGGAUGAAAACAUUAGAGACACAUUCCAAAGGUUACCUCAGUGUUCGCCUAACAAGUUGAAAGAAUUACAUCUGGAGAACAAUAAUAUCACUGGAGUCCUACCAAACUUCAUAGAGGAAUUCAUCAACAUUGUCAUCCUCGACCUCUCCAACAACCAUAUAACUGGGCAUGUGCCUCCUGAGAUUGGAAGGUUCAGAAAUUUAACUAGCUUGGACCUAAGCAGUAACAGACUGGGAGGUGUGAUUACACAAGAACACUUUGCAAAUCUGAGCAGUUUAGAACACAUAGACUUAUCCUAUAAUUCCUUGAAGAUUGUGGCGGAGCCCGAAUGGCGGGCACCAUUUAGUCUCGUUACAGCUGGUUUUGCAUAUUGUCAAAUGAAUUUGUUUCCUGCUUGGCUAGAAGGGCAGGUGGGUCUCUCUUUUUUGGAUCUUACGAGUGCAAGUAUAAAGGACAAACUUCCAAAAUGGUUUUCUACUACAUUUGCAAAUGUUAUCAAAUUGUACCUUUCGGCCAAUGAAAUCUAUGGUAGAUUGCCAACAAACAUGGAUGUUAUGACAUCAUUGAGCUACCUAUAUUUGGAUUCAAACCAGCUAAGUGGUGGAAUACCCCAAUUGCCAAUGUCGCUGAGCAUAUUGGACAUCUCCAUGAACUCUUUAUCGGGACCUUUCCCGGAAAAUUUUGCAGCUUUAGAUAUAUGGUUUCUAAGACUAUCUUCCAAUAGUCUCACCGGUCAAAUUCCAGAGUCUUUGUGCCAAAUGCAUUACCUGCAGAUCUUAGUGCUAAGCAACAACCUUUUUGAAGGGGAAUUUCCUCGAUGUUUCGAGACAAGCAGCCUGAUGAUGUUACUUUUAAGUAACAAUAGGCUAUCUGGAAUGUUCCCAGCAUUUUUGCGGAAAAACACAAAUCUCGAAGUCCUUGACUUGUCACAAAAUGAGUUCUCUGGAAGAGUGCCUAUGUGGAUUGGAGAAUUAGUGAGCCUAGAGAUACUACAACUGAGCUAUAACACGUUCUCUCAUAGUAUUCCUUCAACCAUUACAAAUCUUAGUAGCCUUAUUCAACUGAAUCUAGCAGGCAACAGCAUAUCAGGUGUCAUACCGUGGAACUUAUCAAGUUUAACUGGUAUGCCAAGUGAGGGUAGUCCGAGUUCUUUAACCGACCCUAGAUAUGAUAUUUAUAUGCAUGUGUUCACAAAGAGUCAAGAACUUAAUUAUCAAGAUGAUGCAAUACUUAGAGUGGUGAUCAUGGACUUGUCAUCAAAUUUUUUAACUGGUGGGAUUCCAGAAGAUAUAUCAUCUCUUGAUGCAAUUGUAGGUUUGAAUUUGUCACAGAAUCACCUGAUUGGGAAAAUUUCAAACAAGAUUGGGGUCAUGAAGUCGUUACAAUCACUGGACCUCUCAAGGAACAAGCUUUCUGGAGAAAUACCACCAAGCUUGUUAAAUCUGACAUAUUUAAGCAGCUUGGACUUGUCUUACAACAAUCUUGCGGGGCAAAUACCAUCAGGAGGCCAACUUGACACCCUCUAUCUACAACAUCCAUCUAUGUACGAUGGCAACAAUGGUCUUUGCGGACCUCCACUCCCUAAGAAUUGCUCAGGAAACAAUGCAGCAAGGCAUGAUGUUCAAACGACACAUAGUACAUAUUCCGAUCCAAUGUCCUUCUACUUUGGGCUCGGAAUAGGAUUUGUCAUCGGUCUUUGGGUGGUGUUCUGUGCCAUGUUAUUCAAGAGAGCAUGGAGGAUUGCCUAUUUCCGGCUCUUCGACAAGGUAUACGAUAAAGUAUAUGUGUUUGUCGUUGUUAAUUGGAAGAGGAUUUGCCCGUAAGAUGGCUACACGCUAAAUCAAUUGGCAAGAUUGGCUAGAAAUACAACCGGAGAUGGAGUCUUACAAAUAAAGGUGCAUGCCAAAAUGUCCAUGUGUUGUCGUAGUUAGUAUAUUCAAUAAACAAAGCAAAGAUGUAUUUGACUCUGUAUCGUAGUCCAUGUUGCCCUUUAUUUAGUCUCUUGAUGUACAUGCACUGAUGCACUGUCAGUUUGUACUUAUGAUCUAAUGAAUAAAUGCACCAUGUGUGUGCUACUUGGAUGAAAACAAAUUAAGAGAAUAGUGCAAUUUGCCUAUAACAGGCGCAUGUAAUUAUCUUUAGGCGAGUAGUUUUACUUAUUUUUUAAGAUGUAUUUCUUCAUCAAUAUAUUUUGUAAGAUGUGUUUCCAUCUCUUUUUUUUGAGCUUAUGUGUUUCCAUCUUCUUCUUUUAUUGAAUUUGUAUGUGUUUUUAUCUUCUUCUUUUUUUUUUACUUACGUGUGUUUUCAUCUUCUUCUUUUUUUGACUUAUGUAUUUUUCAUCUUGAUUAGAAGUCUGGCGGGGAGAAGAAUGAAGACAAAAGGAAAAUCAGAAUAGGCAACUGGGCCUUGUGAUUCAACAGCCCAGCCACAAGGCCCAUGGCGUCCGUCCAUAUCGCCCCACUCUCCCGUCCCCAUCUCCGAUCCCCAUCACAACCGGAGCCGUCGAGGCCGCCGCGCUUCCUCUCCCUCCCCUCGACUCCGGCGGCCGGCCGGGGCGCGUCGCCACCUUCCUCGCCCUUCGCCCCGCUGCUCGGGUGAGUCCCUCGCACUCCCCAAUCCAAGGUUCCGCGUCACAUCGUUCCCCGUUCGCCCGUCAAUCCGCCCUCUUUUCCCCCUCGCCAAACCCCGGUGGCAGCGGCGCAGCGGCGCUUCGCCGACCGGAUUUCAGGGGCUCCAUCUGAUGACCACCCGUACGUGCAGGUACCCGCUCCCCAGUCCAGCACAGAGCACAGGGAGGGGGGCAAUGGAAGGACCAUCUGCUUCUGACGGCCAAGUGAUCCCGUCCACCGCAGGAGACCCUCACCUCAGCAGCUCGGCCGCGCCCAUGGACGCCGCCGGCGGCGGCUCGCAGCACGUCGCGACGCUGCGGAAGCUGCUGUUUCGGAGGAUGCUGGUCGGGGUGAACGACGGCCGCUACUUCCUGGGGCUGUUCCACUGCGUCGACAAGCAGGGGAACAUAAUCCUGCAGGACGCGGUGGAGUACCGCAGCGCGCGCCGCUCAUCCCCGUCGGCGCCCAAGGAGGAGCGGUGCCUCGGGCUCAUCCUCAUCCCGGCGUCCUGCCGCUCGUCCUGCCAUGUCGACUGCUUCAUCGAAGAGCAGAUGGCACUGCUGUCCCUGUGCAAGUGAAGGAUGCUUCUGAAUUUUCUUUCCUCUGGUUUCUCAAGCUGUGUAACUUGGAUGAAUCUGUGCCUGGAGACCUUGUUGUGACUUUUCUUUGUAGUCAGUUGUGCCAUAUUGGAGUUUGCCCUGCAUACUUAUUGUUAUUUCAGCUAGAAUCUGGUAUUCGUAUUUCUGUUCCAUGGGAAAAUAUUCUUUCAUUAAUCAGUGUCACUGGCUGUGAGUUCUUCAAUCAACAAGAUUUUGUACAUAAAUUUAGUAACUGAUGCCAUAGAAGCUCAUACCAUAGCUUUCAUAAAGUGAGCAAGUGAAGGAUGCUUCUGAUUUUUUUUUCUGGUUUCUCAAGCUGUGUAAGCUUAGAUGAAUCUGUGCCUGGAUUGUUUUGAAAGUUUAUGUAAGAGUAUUUUUAGUUGAUUUUUUC
rnacentral:rRNA from 1 species